rnacentral:lncRNA from 1 species
CGAGAUUGUAUUGAACGUGUGUUAGUUUUAUCACAUGGGGCUCGGGGUCUAUUUAUACCCGAGAAUUACAAAAUAUGUCCAUAUCAGAUACGACUCUUAUCUCUAACAAACUCUAAAAUAUCAUAAGUCUUUGCGGCAGACUUUUGCCCAAACAUAUCUCUAAGGAAAUUACAUAAAAUAUCCUAAUUAAUAGAUACAAUUGCCUUCUCAGGUCUAUCCAUGCGUGGCAAUCAUCAUGAAGCACAUCAACCUAAACCGACAAUAUAUGUUGUGUCAUAUUGCCGGAUUCGGCUCAAUCGGCUAACCUCGUCCGACUCGAACUCUGCCGAUCUUAGUCGUAGCCGAUUCGGACUUCAGCCGAUCCUCACUCUGUUUCUGGGACGAUUUCCAUCUCGGUUUCUUCUUCAUCUCCGAUCCUUGGAUUACCAAAUUUGGUCGUUAACAACGCCUCCAUCCACAUGACCGGUGCACGGGACGCUGUCACGCCCGGAAAUUCACUAGUAAUUUCCGAACUAAUUUGUGCAUAAAAUCCUCGUCCAGGAAUCAGCCGAGGUACACAAACUGACAAUUUAAUAUACAAAUCCAUCUUAAUAAUGACGUUACAUACUUACAAAAGAAAAGAAAACAGCAGCGGAAUUAACGGUCUAGCGACGGCUUCAGCUCCACUCCCACAGGCAGCUCAACUUGGGUAUAAGCCAAACGUCUUCUCCUUCUGGAUCCUUUAUCUUCAACUGAGGUUUGAUGAUUAUUGCAAGAAUGAGCAUAUGACAUACUCAACAAGCCACACAGCAAAUAUGCAAGUGCACAAGGAUACCAAAGGAUGGCAUAAUAUAGGCUCAUUUGCGAAAGCAGCAUUUAGCAAAUAGUUAAGAGUAGUAAAACAGUAGAGUAAUUAAUUAAAAAUUUUAAUCAACACUGAACAGCACACCCAUGCUGCACAGGCCCAACCAUCCUGAACAACCAUACCCGGCUGUACAGAUCUAAAUCCAAACCAGGAGCUAAGCAAAUUAUUACCAGGUAUAACAUCCAUAAUUAUUGUGAGAGGUGUGAGACUAAUCACGAAAAACAUUGCUCAACCCGCCCAUAACCGCGGGCACGGCUAUUCGAAUAGUUUUACUCUGGCCAGAGGUGUACCACUGUACCCACAAGACACAACCCCACAUCAUGUCACCAUGUGCCUCAAUACCACCACGGUAUCUCGGAAAGGAGUUGUGACAAUACCCCUUGCACAACAUAACCCAUUACAGCGCACCUUUCCUGGAUCAUAAUCACCCCCUUAUAAACAAGGCAUGGACUCCCCAGUGACCCCCGUGGACUUCUCGCCACUUCUCAGUCUGGCGCACUAUAAUGAAUCACGCUACACAAAAGAUAAAGCCGUUGCCCACGCUGGCUUGUGGUUGGCACGAUAAAUGUUUCACAACAGUAGCUCGCGAACCGGUCCUUAAUUGCCAUGAGCACGACUCUCAAAACCAUGUGCUCACAACCCACCAUUAUCAAGUUUUAGUUGGCAAGUAAUUAAUUAACCAAUCACGAUUAACCAUCGUGAACUAUCAUUAAGCCAUCCUUAAAUAAUAGUGAGUCAUAAGUUAUCCCAAUAGUGUGCUAAUGUUUCUAAGCAUGGCUAAGCAAUCAUAACUAAUAUCUAGCUGAACCAAUAUAUAAAGCCCAACUAGUCAAGUUAUAAUAACCUAAGGUAUCAAGGAAUAAAGUAAUCGAUGCAAAUUGGCCAUAACAAAGGAAUAAGUUCACACCACCCGGUGACAUUCGAAAAUAAAUGCACAGUUGAAAUAAAUAGAGAAUUUAAAUAUAGGAUCAACAUGCUCAAAGGAUUGUGUUUAGGAUCUGUGUGACUUGCCUUGCAAUAAUCGGUCUUCAAUUAAUCUUCUGAACACUCCUGACGCACUCACGAACCUUCGCAACGACGGAAACGACAAGCUAACACGCAAAACGAAGAAAAAGACUAAUAAAAACCAAAUAAACAGUACAUAUAAAGU